rnacentral:rRNA from 1 species
UACGGAGGGUGCAAGCGUUAUCCGGAUUCACUGGGUUUAAAGGGUGCGUAGGUGGGCAAGUAAGUCAGUGGUGAAAUCUCCGGGCUUAACCCGGAAACUGCCAUUGAUACUAUUUGUCUUGAAUACUGUGGAGGUCAGCGGAAUAUGUCAUGUAGCGGUGAAAUGCUUAGAUAUGACAUAGAACACCAAUUGCGAAGGCAGCUUACUACGGAUUUAUUGACACUGAGGCACGAAAGCGUGGGGAUCAAACAGG